GCGGGCGUAGCUCAAUGGUAGAGCUUCAGGUUCCCAACCUGAUGACGUGGGUUCGAUUCCCAUCGCCCGCUCCA
rnacentral:tRNA from 2 species